GGAAAUUCAGCAAAAAGGACAUGAGGUCUUCAUAUGCCAGCAGAAAUAUGCUAAAGAAAUUAUCAUAAAGUUCAAAAUGGAAGAAUGCAAAUUUACAACAACUCCUAUGAAUCAAAAAGAGAAGUUUUACGAAGAUGAUGAAGCUAAAAAGGUUGAUUAAGGACUUUAUAAGAGCCUGAUAGGUUGCCUAAUGUACUUGACUGCAACGAGACCAAAUAUUCUUUAUGUUGUAAGUUUUCAAGAUAUAUGCAUUGGGCUAGCAAAACUCAUUUUCAAGCAGCUAAUCGUGUGAUUAGAUAUGUUAAAGGUACUGUGAAUUUUGGCAUAAUGUUUAAAAAAGCAUCAGACUUUCAGUUUCUUGGAUUUUCUGAUAGUGAUUGGGCUGGUAGCUCAGAUGAUAUGAGAAGCAAUGGAAUGUUCUCUUGGUGUUCAAAGAAGCAAGAUAUUGUGGCUCAAUCUACAACUGAAGCAAAGUAUAGUGCAGCUACAUCAGCUGUGAAUCAAUCCCUUUGGAUUCGGAAGCUACUGACAAUUUGCAUAUGGAGAAAAACAAGAGCACUGAAAUCUUUGUUGAUAAUCACUCUGCAAUUUCAAUUGCAAAUAAUCCUGUUUCACAUGGAAAGACAACAUUUCAAGAUCAAGCUUUAUUUCUUGAGGGAGGUGCAAAAGAGUGGAGACAUAGACUUGGUGCACUGCAAAAUUGAUUUUUAGACUGCUGAUAUUUUAACUAAGGCCCUACCUAGAGCAAGAUUUUAAUUUCUCAGAAAAAGGCUUGGGAUUGUUGCUCUUGAGUGAAAAAUGAGUGUUGAAAGUGGUGCCUCAAAACCUAGAGAUUAGUUCCACUUUCUAUUGUAUCAAUAUACAACUUAAAAGUAGGAUUAAGUUCAGGUAAAUAAGGUUGCAGUAUUUGGCAGAAUCUGAUUAGUUAGUUGCUAUAUUUUAGGCUUUAGUUAUUUGAGAUAAUGUUAUAUUAUUUCACUCCUUUUCUUUAGCUUUUUAAGUUAUGAAUUCAUGUAUUUAUAUUGCAGCCGUUAUUUCAAUAAACAAGCAACUUAACCUUGUUAUCUUUUCUUUCUUUCUUAGUAAACAUCUAUUAUUCUCCUGUUAAAAACCUACAAAGGGUAUAAGCUAAAAAUGUGAUUGUCCAAAUAAAAGGCUUAAGGCUCAAAGUGGGAACAUGCUAAGGAUUGAUAUCAUUUGAUAGGCUUUGAAAGGAACAAACAGGUCAAAAAAGGCCUACAAUCAUUUCUCAAAUCAAACAUUACUCAGAAUUUCGUCUCAAUAAACAUUCAAGCCAAAAUCUGGAUCAACAACACAACACAAUUAAAUUUAAUUCAAAAUUCACCACACAUUGCACAGGAAACAAUGAAUCUUAUUUUGUUCUAAUCUUGAAGGUAUGCAAGAGAAUAUUUUCAAGUGUAACAAAAUUAUGAAUGCGACGUACCAAAAGAAUCUAUGGUUUAACAAGAAGUCAAUAUUUCUCCAUUAUAUCAAUUAUUUUUUCAUACGCACAAUCUAACUGUGUUGGCACUAACCAAAUCAAAAAAUGAUUUUAAACAUUUUACAAAGAAUAAGAAAAUAAAAAAAACUUUUGAAUAAAGAAUACCCCUAGAAGGGCUGCCUACGUAUCUCAUUGAGAUGAGAAUCAGGUUUUCGUAGUUCGUGCAGAUAUGACAUAAAAAUAUUUUUUGAGAAACAUAUGAAUUUUUUGAAAGGAGAAAAAACUAAUAAAAAUAAGAAACCAACGAGACACAUUGAAAGGCAGACAACCCAAAUUAACAAAAAAUCUCUUUUUUUGAAAGAAAAAAACAAAAAUAACUAAAUGAAAAAGAAGCAAUGAGUCACAUUGAAGGGCAGACCACCAAAACUUUAAAAAUGUCAAUUUUCUUAUGGAAUAUAAGAAAAAUAAAAUCAAAGAUAUGUAAUGAAUUUAACAUCAUGUACAAACAAUUAAUAUAAAGGUAUAAACCAACUCAGAAUAAUAUGGCAUGAUGCAUCGACAACAUACAUAUAAUUAAACAAAUAACGAAAGAAUAAUAAGUACAACAUACACAUAAUCAACUAAAUAUACAAGAUAUAAUGGAUAACAUAAUAUAAGAAAAAUCCCAUAAAUUUGAAAAAAUGACACUUAAUGGUUAGAAUAUCUAUAUCCCCAGCGGAUUUGUCAUUCUAUUGACAUCUCGAAGGUGCAACGUCACGGUGACUCACAAAAAAUAACUAAUAGAUUUAAUUUUUAAAAGAAUUUAAAUAAAAAAGAAAUUUUAAGGGAAGUCGCCACCUAAUUUUGAGGAUAAUUAAGAAAUCAAUUAAUUAAUUAAUUAAAUAUUUCUACGAAACCAAUAAAUUAUAGGUAAGAGUUCAAGUAUUUCUAAAUGAAAGGUGUUAUACAUCCUUCAAAAUCCACAACUGUGAGUCUCGACUGAAUUCAUUUUUCAAACUAAGGAGGAGAUAAAAAAAAAUUACAAGUAUAAUAAACAUGUAAUAUACACAAAUCAUAAAGUAAAAUAAUAGUAUAAGAAACAACCUAAGUUUUGCUAACGUUAAUAAUAUACACAAUAAUGAAUCAAAAAAUAUUGUUCAAACUUUAUUCGAAUAGCUUCAAUGGGAAGUAACUCUAGGUACAUGUAAAGACACUUAAUAAAAGUGUUAGUCAUAAAUAGAUAUAAAUAACAAUUAAUGAAUCAAAUAAGAAUCCGUCUUGAACACAGGAGACCUUGAAAAUUGACGGUAAUUUUUUCAUCGACCAAUUUUAACAAACAAUUUAUGCAAACUUAAACUAAAUUUAUAUCUUUUACAAUGGGGAGGCCUCGAAAAUUGACAGGGAGAUUUUUUUCAUUGGCCAAUUUUAAUAUACAAUUUGUACAAACUUAAACUAAUUUUUUGUCUUUUACGAUUGGGAGGCCUCAAAAAUCGACGGAGAGAUAUUUUCAUUGGCUAAUUAAACUUAAUAAAAUCAAGUAAAACUAAAAAAAGAUAAAAACAAUAUGUAACAUCCAAACGAUAAUCAACAUAACAAAAUGAUAAUAAUAAAUAAAAAUAACAUAGCAACAUCCGUCACUAAAACUUCUUAGAAAAUGAAUGCUCCCAAUCUUAAUAAAUCUAGAAAAUCACGUGAAAAAAUAGUCAAAGUAUUAUUAUAGCUAACAAAUUUAUAUACGUAAUUCAUAUAGUUCUACCAACAGUCAACUGUAGCUAUUGAAUCUAAGGGAAUAAAUAAAAAUAAUUAAGAAAGAAGAAAGAGCAGCCUAUUUGUACAUACGCGAUUUAUAAUUCCAACAUCACUGAAAAAAUAUUCAAAACAAACAAAUCAACUCCAACACUAAAAAUAAUCAACAAUAAUGAACGAAUCAAAGAUGGUCGAAGUUUGAACUGUUCCGGCCAGAUCUGAAAAAGAGAAAUGAAGUGAAAGAGGAAUUGUUUAUUUACCGGAGUUGUAGCUCGAUCUGAUCGGAGCUCACUAGUAACAACGAUGGAGCUCGUGGUCUGAGCGUUAGUUGGAUUUCAAGCUGGUAAACUUGCUUUCCAGAGAUGGCGUCUCAGAUGGGUUGCUACGG
rnacentral:lncRNA from 1 species